rnacentral:rRNA from 1 species
AACCUCCGCAAUGUGAGAAAUCGCGACGGGGGGAUCCCAAGUGCCAUUCUUAACGGGAUGGCUUUUCAUUAGUGUAAAGAGCUUUUGGAAUAAGAGCUGGGCAAGACCGGUGCCAGCCGCCGCGGUAACACCGGCAGCUCUAGUGGUAACAAUUUUUAUUGGGCCUAAAGCGUCCGUAGCCGGUUUAAUAAGUCUCUGGUGAAAUCCUGCAGCUUAACUGUGGGAAUUGCUGGAGAUACUAUUAGACUUGAGACCGGGAGAGGUUAGAGGUACUCCCAGGGUAGAGGUGAAAUUCUGUAAUCCUGGGAGGACCGCCUGUUGCGAAGGCGUCUAGCUGGAACGGUUCUGACGGUGAGGGACGAAAGUUAGGGGCGCGAACCGGAUUAGAUACCCGGGUAGUCCUAACUGUAAACGAUGCGGACUUGGUGUUGGGGUGGCUUUGAGCUGCUUCAGUGCCGAAGGGAAGCUGUUAACUCCGCCGCCUGGGAAGUACGGUCGCAAGACUAAAACUUAAAGGAAUU